rnacentral:misc_RNA from 1 species
CUCAGCUCAAUAUCAUACUUUUGAAUAAAAUUUAGGAUAACAAACGGAAAACCAACCAACAAAAACACAGUGAGACAGAUAAGGGAAAUCUAACAGUUGCUAAUUUCUCAUCGAAAUAGGAGAAACCUGGGUGAAAGCAUGUGUAGCUUUCGUCUAUUUUGCUUGAGGGUGAGAGGCAAUAAAAUCAACAGCAAGAUUUAUAGCAUUGAUUCUGUCUGCUUCAUUGUCAGGAAUUUCAAACCGGAACUCUUCUUCAAGAGCCAUCACAACUUCCACGGUAUCUAAACUAUCCAAGCCUAGAUCAUUUUGAAAAUGGGCCGUCGGAGUAACCUUGGAAGGAUCGACUUUCUGAAAUUUCUUGACAACGGAAAUGACGCGGUCGGUGACUUCCGAUUUGUCGAGAAAAGAACCCCUCACCUCCUCGGAGAAGAGACGGUGUCGAAUCGCAUUGAAGGGGUUAACGUAGAAAAUGGGGCUGUCGUUUUUGGGCAGGGCCUUGACAUGAACCCUAAGAUGCUUCAGCAGAGAGUUUCUAGCCGCCAUUGGAAGUGAAAAAAUGAAAAUGUGCUCGUGAGGGAAGCUCUAUGCGUUAUUUGACGCAGGCCAAGGG